GUAGUCUCAAGAUGGCACCCGGAGAGUUUCCAGUACUCUACCAGUCUCGGCUAUGGGAGGGAAGUCAAGCAGAGGCCUACCCAUUCCAUUCCUAGCUUGGCCAGUGGCUAGUGAGUGGAAGGCCAUCUGCUACAAGU
rnacentral:snoRNA from 1 species